rnacentral:rRNA from 1 species
GACGAACGCUGGCGGCGUGCCUAAUACAUGCAAGUCGAGCGGAAUGAUGAAGAAGCUUGCUUCUUCUGAUUUUAGCGGCGGACGGGUGAGUAACACGUGGGCAACCUACCUUGUAGAUUGGGAUAACUCCGGGAAACCGGGGCUAAUACCGAAUAAUCCAUUUUGCUUCAUGGCGAGAUGUUGAAAGACGGUUUCGGCUGUCACUACAAGAUGGGCCCGCGGCGCAUUAGCUAGUUGGUAGGGUAAUGGCCUACCAAGGCGGCGAUGCGUAGCCGACCUGAGAGGGUGAUCGGCCACACUGGGACUGAGACACGGCCCAGACUCCUACGGGAGGCAGCAGUAGGGAAUCUUCCACAAUGGACGAAAGUCUGAUGGAGCAACGCCGCGUGAGUGAAGAAGGUUUUCGGAUCGUAAAACUCUGUUGUAAGGGAAGAACACGUACGAGAGUAACUGCUCGUACCUUGACGGUACCUUAUUAGAAAGCCACGGCUAACUACGUG